rnacentral:rRNA from 1 species
GAAGAAAGUAAGGGCGUACAGUGAAUGCCUUGGCACU